GAUGAACGCUGGCGGCGUGCCUAAUACAUGCAAGUCGAGCGAACAGACGAGGAGCUUGCUCCUUCGACGUUAGCGGCGGACGGGUGAGUAACACGUAGGUAACCUACCUAUAAGACUGGGAUAACUUCGGGAAACCGGAGCUAAUACCGGAUAAUAUUUCGAACCGCAUGGUUCGAUAGUGAAAGAUGGCUUUGCUAUCACUUAUAGAUGGACCUGCGCCGUAUUAGCUAGUUGGUAAGGUAACGGCUUACCAAGGCAACGAUACGUAGCCGACCUGAGAGGGUGAUCGGCCACACUGGAACUGAGACACGGUCCAGACUCCUACGGGAGGCAGCAGUAGGGAAUCUUCCGCAAUGGGCGAAAGCCUGACGGAGCAACGCCGCGUGAGUGAUGAAGGUCUUCGGAUUGUAAAACUCUGUUAUUAGGGAAGAACAAACGUGUAAGUAACUGUGCACGUCUUGACGGUACCUAAUCAGAAAGCCACGGCUAACUACGUG
rnacentral:rRNA from 1 species